rnacentral:rRNA from 2 species
AAAAUUGAAAGAUGGUUUCGGCUAUCACUUACAGAUGGGCCCGCGGUGCAUUAGCUAGUUGGUGAGGUAACGGCUCACCAAGGCAACGAUGCAUAGCCGACCUGAGAGGGUGAUCGGCCACACUGGGACUGAGACACGGCCCAGACUCCUACGGGAGGCAGCAGUAGGGAAUCUUCCGCAAUGGACGAAAGUCUGACGGAGCAACGCCGCGUGAGUGAUGAAGGCUUUCGGGUCGUAAAACUCUGUUGUUAGGGAAGAACAAGUACAAGAGUAACUGCUUGUACCUUGACGGUACCUAACCAGAAAGCCACGGCUAACUACGUGCCAGCAGCCGCGGUAAUACGUAGGUGGCAAGCGUUAUCCGGAAUUAUUGGGCGUAAAGCGCGCGCAGGCGGUUUCUUAAGUCUGAUGUGAAAGCCCACGGCUCAACCG